GCAGACACAAAGGAGCAUUAUACACUAUGGAUAUACACCUGGUUGUGAGAGAGCCAGUGGCUGAUCAUAAUGCCAAGCCUCCUUUCCCUCAAUGUAGCAGACACAGCUUGGAUACAGAAACCUCAAAAUAAAGGUGGAAAAAAUCAUCAGGCAAGUUGGAAGGACAGAAUGACACGGGCAAAACAGAAGCCUAGAAACAAAGGAGAUUGAGAAGAAUACAGGAAUAUAUGAUCUAAGCUUUACAAUGAAAGAGAAAAAAAGAAGUACAAACAGGAAUAAAAUGUGCUAUUAAAAAAAAAAGUUAUGUGGUAAAUCUGCACUCCUUGUGCCCAAGGAUACAUUUUUGAUCCAAGUGCCUCUUAGAUUGUGAUUUAAAUCAACACGAAAUGAGAUUUCCAGACUUUCUAUUUCCUUUCAUGUUGUCCAGUCAUCACAUCCUGCAGAGAUGAAAAAGAUUACCACACUUGAAAAAGGGUAAAGAGAAUUCAGACUCGAAGCAUCUCCCUA